GAUAUUAACAACGUAAGAGAAAUAUAUGACUAUAAAAGGAAUUAAAAAAAUUUAACGUAACGAAAAAAAAGCAUUCUUAUUAAGCAUUUAAUUUUUAUCAUUUAAUAUUAAAAAACUUGAUUUAAUUUCGAUAUGAAUUUGUUCGAUGUUACACAUCUCUUCAUUUUAAUUUACAAUUAUAAUGAAGAUAAUUAUAAAACAUUUUUUUAUUAUCAUAGAUAUUAUAUUUUUUUAUUAUUCUAUAUUAUUAUUAUGUGAAACAUACAUACACACACAUUGCAUUAUACGUUGAUAUAUUACUGUAAUACAUAAUAUAUAUGUUAUAAUAGUAAAACGAUAAUAAUUGCUUAUAAAAGGAAUAUGCCGCCAAAAGAACAGAAGAAAGUUCGAUGGACAAAAGCAUUAAGAAAAGAAGAAAAACUAAAAAAGGCAUUAGAACGGCAAUUAAUGUUAAAGAAAGAACGUUUACUUCGCGAAAUCAAAAUGGGCGUUCUAAAUACUCAAAAAUAUCGUCAAUCAUGGCGAGAAUUAAUGAUGCGUGCAAAAAUGCCUAUUAUCAAAGAAGAUAUUGAGACUACUUGGCAUACAUUCGAUCGGAUCGUUGAUAAUAAAGAUCAUAGGUAUUCUCUUAUGAAUCACGAUGAGGACUAUAAUUAACAGAAGAGAUUAAAACGAAUAUUUUAUUCGAUGUAGUAUUCAAGUUUUAAUCAAUUCUCUUGACGAAGCUAAUGAACAAUAUGAAAGAUCCAAAAGUGGUCACAACGAAAUGAUCCAUCGUUUAUUUAACAUAUAUAAAAUGAAAACUAAAGCUAUUUCAACGACUUACCAAUCAAAAAUUAAUGAAAUCCUAAACGAAGUUAAUAUUGAUAUCAUUGGGUUCAGACAAAAAGGAAAUGAAGAUUUAUCCCAGUUGCAAUCUAUUAUUUCUAUUAUGCAAGACAAUUUGGAUAAUUCGCUUAAUAACACAAAGAGCAAAACAAUGAGCAAAAUCGAUUCUUUUGUUGAGGACAAAAUUAAUGUGCGAAGAUUGGCGUUAGUUGUGAAAGAGAAUGAAAUGAAUGAAUUUUCAGCGGAUCUACAAAAAACUAUUGCUACAUAUCAUAAAAGUAUAAUAUAUUUUACAUCAUUUCUUCGUAUAUUGAGAUGUUAUAUAUCAUGUAAAUAGGACAUUUUAGAUACAAAAAAUCGACGAAAGUUAUACGAUGUUGUAAAAGAAAAGGAUGAAAAAAAUCAACAGAUCAUAACUAAGCAAUAUGUACGUAUUGCUGUUCUAUCUGAAACAAUAUCGAAAUUUCGCGAGAAAAUGGCAACUCAUAAAGCUAACGUUAACAAGCAGUUUAAAGAAAUUAUGGAAGAACAAAAUUUUUUCUAUACUUCAUAUUGGAUUAUGAAAAAUCGCUUCGUUUCAGAACAGAAACAAGAUAGAGUUCAAUUAACUAUAACAGCAACUGAAUAUAAAUUGACAAAAAAUUACUUAGAACGACUCGUUAAGAAAACAGAAAAUUUACUAAGACUUC